GCCAGACUCCUACGGGAGGCAGCAGUGGGGAAUAUUGGGCAAUGGGCGCAAGCCUGACCCAGCAACGCCGCGUGAAGGAAGAAGGCUUUCGGGUUGUAAACUUCUUUUAAGAGGGAAGAGAAGAAGACGGUACCUCUUGAAUAAGCCACGACUAACUACGUGCCAGCAGCCGCGGUAAUACGUAGGUGGCAAGCGUUGUCCGGAUUUACUGGGUGUAAAGGGAGCGUAGACGGCAGAGCAAGUCUGAAGUGAAAGCCCGCGGCCCAACUGCGGGACUGCUUUGGAAACUGCCCGGCUAGAGUGCUGGAGAGGUAAGCGGAAUUCCUAGUGUAGCGGUGAAAUGCGUAGAUAUACGGAGGAACACCAGUGGCGAAGGCGGCCUGCUGGACAUUAACUGACGCUGAGGCGCGAAAGCGUGGGGAGCAAACAGGAUUAGAUACCCGAGUA
rnacentral:rRNA from 1 species